rnacentral:lncRNA from 10 species
CUACUCACAAGAAUAUGGAUGAAUCUACAAGCAUAAUGUUGAGUGAAGGAAGCUGGAUAUGAAAGGGGAAGUUGUAAAAUGGCAUUUAUUUAAAGUUGAAAGUUUGGGGAAACGACUUUAUGUGAUUAGACGUUGGGAUAGUGCUUGCCCCUGAGGGGUGCGGCUGGAUGGAGGCAUGAGAGGCCUGGAGAGCAUGGUCUAAUAAACAGAGAAGGCUCAGGAGGGUCAGAAACACGGUGCCUCAUUUCUCAGCCUACUUGCCAAGAAUUCCCAAAAAGGAAGCACUGGAGGAUCAUUCCAAGGCUUGAGGUCCAGGACUACCCACUUCCCUUGGAAUGGUGUUGCCAUCACUGUUCUGGCACCGGAGGUAAGGAUUCUACAUCGUUAGGAGAAAAGAAAAAGGAGAAUUUGGGCUUGCACUGAGAGGAUUACCUUUGGUGGUCUGGAAGUGGUGGGGUUGCAGCAUUGAAGGCACCAUCUUGGAAGCAGAGACUAGACCCUCACCAAGCAAUUAACAUGCUGGUGCAUUGAUCUUGGACUUUCCAGCCUCCAGAACUGUGAGAAAUAAAUUUCUGUUCUUAAUUAAUUACCCAGUCCCAGGUAUUCUGUUAUAGCAGCACAAAGCUUAGACGGGCUCCUUACAUCUUGAGGCUCCAUUAUCUCCUGGGAACUGGGAGUCCUUAGGUUCUAGCCAUGGAAAGAGAAACAAAAGAUGGAGAAGGCACACAUGCUUCUUAAUGGUCGUGGUUCAGAAGUAACAAAUACUAAUUCUAUAUAUUCUACUGGCUCAACACAAAUGCAGGGGUGUGCUGGGAAUGGAGUCUCUGAUUGGGCAGCAGGGAUCAGGGAUCAAAGAUCAGGAAAUAUUCCAGGGUGAAUAUUUUACUAGGUGAGGAGGACCAUGAAUUUUGACAAACAGCCUUUGCUGCUCUACCCACUCCUCAUCAUCACUGUUAGACACAAAGAGAAAUGGCAGCACUUUUUGUCCAUUGAUUGUAACUCUUUCUUUAAAGACUUUUAAGGCAGAAUCUCAAUUCAUCUCUUCUAUGAAACUUUCAUGAUUCAAAGGGAAGUCCCUGCAUGGACACUGCCAGCUUCAUUGCACUUCUGCCUCUAUGCUUUUUCCUGAACCUUCUCCACCUCUGGAACGUACUUCAGGCUGCACAGGGAGCAUGGCUGGGAGGCCUCAGGAAACUGACAAUCAUCAGUAGAAGAUGAAGAGGAAGGAGGCGCAUCUUACAUGGCCAGAGAAGGAGGAAGAAUAAGAAGGGAUUCUCCAGCUGGAGCCCUAUAAAUUGGACUGACAAAAGACAGAUUAGCAAGAGAAAUGCAAGCAGCAGUUUAUUAACAUGUGCAUCAUGAUUACACAUGGAAGUACCCAGAGCAGGUCAUAAGACCUCAUGUGACAAGUGCCCUCCUUACUCCCAGAGAAAAGGAAGGAAGACACAGAAACACCACGAAGAAUAUGGACAAACAGACCUUGCUAAGUUCCCCCCCAUUUAUUACCAUGACAUCAUACUCCCUUUGUCCAAUCACACUUUCAUCAAACCUGAGCAUGAAAAUACACAGGUUUCUCUGUUUGGGGGGUGGGUCUUCAUUUUUGAAGUUUCCAUGUCAUGUAAAACUUAUAUUAAAGAAAUGUGUAUGUUUUACCCUUGUUAAUUU